rnacentral:rRNA from 1 species
UACGUAGGGUGCGAGCGUUGUCCGGAUUUAUUGGGCGUAAAGAGCGUGUAGGCGGCCAGGCAGGUCCGUUGUGAAAACUCGAGGCUCAACCUCGAGACGUCGAUGGAAACCGUCUGGCUAGAGUCCGGAAGAGGAGAGUGGAAUUCCACGUGUAGCGGUGAAAUGCGUAGAGAUGUGGAGGAACACCGAUGGCGAAGGCAGCCUCCUGGGCCAAUACUGACGCUCAUGCACGAAAGCGUGGGGAGCAAACAGG